rnacentral:rRNA from 1 species
UACGUAGGUGGCAAGCGUUGUCCGGAAUUAUUGGGCGUAAAGCGCGCGCAGGUGGUUUCUUAAGUCUGAUGUGAAAGCCCACGGCUCAACCGUGGAGGGUCAUUGGAAACUGGGGAACUUGAGUGCAGAAGAGGAAAGUGGAAUUCCAAGUGUAGCGGUGAAAUGCGUAGAGAUUUGGAGGAACACCAGUGGCGAAGGCGACUUUCUGGUCUGUAACUGACACUGAGGCGCGAAAGCCAGGGGAGCGAACGGG